ensembl:lncRNA
GCAACAAUUAUGUGGCACAAUGAAGUGAAAUGAAAUGGCAAUGAAGUCUGAUCACACCACUUCUUGUUUUUGUUGGCAUAUUGAUGUUUUGCAGCAUGAGCAAGGCUACUUACAAACACCUCCAGUUUCCAUGUGAACUGCAUGAGUAUGGUUGUCACUAAAAAAUCAGUUUUUUCAGCAGAUAACUUCGGUGUUUCCUGAUAUCUGGUGCCAUUUCCGAAAAAUGAUUUCAUCAUUUCAUCUCAAAAGAGCAGAGCAGCGGCGUAAAAGACGUCCUCGCCGUACCUGGGUCCAUCAGGUCCUCCAGAGGCAUGAGCAGUUUGGUGAGUUUCACCAUUUGCUCCAGGAGCUGCGCCUGGAUGACGGCCGAUUCCAGCGCUAUCACCGUCGGCCAGUUUGAGGACCUGCUUUCCCUCGUCGGUCCCAGCAUCACCCGCCUAGACACCAACUACAGGUGCUCAAUCCCACCUGCAGAGCGCCUGUCCGUCUGCCUGAGGUUCCUUGUCAGCGGGGACUCCUUCACGACCAAGCAUUCAGUUACAGAGUCGGUGUGUCCACGGUGAGCCAGAUCACCCUCCAGACAGCGACGUCCAUCUGGGACUGUCUAGUGGACAACUUCAUGGCUGUGCCUUCACCUGGAGACUGGCGGUCCAUCACAGAGGGAUUCCAGGAGCGCUGGAACUUUCCUCUGUGCUGUGCAGCUCUGGAUGGGAAGCACAUCCAGACAAAGGCACCCCAUAUAUCAUAUAGGAGACACACACAUUGAUAUACACUAAAUAUUUAUUUUAUUUCUUUUUUGUGGUGCCCAAAUUUAUGCACCUGCUUGAUUUUGUUUAAACAAUUAUUGCACACUUUCUGUAAAUCCAGUAAACUUCUUUUCACUUCUCAAAUAUCACUGUGUGUGUCUCCUGUAUGAUAUUUAACUGACAUUUUUUAUUGUAACAACCAAGGAUUUAUACAGGAAAAUAAUGUCUAUUAACAAGGUUGCCCAAACUUUUGCAUCCCACUGUAUUAGUAUAUUUUGUCAUUAGUAUAAUAUGAAAUAAAUUCUACAUGUGUCAAGUUGUGUGCCAAC